UGGGGGAAAAUUAAUAUAAUAAAAUUAAUAAUAAAAAUAAUUAUAAAAAAUAAUUAAUGGGGGUUAAAGUAUUUUUUAGAAAAAAUUUAUUAAUUUAUAGUUUAAUAGUAUUGUGAAAGAAUUUUGAAAUAAAGUUAAAUAUGGAUUAUUAUUUAAGUAAAUUUAAUUUAUUGUAUCUUGUGUAUCAGAGUUUAUUAAUAAAAUAUUUUUAAAUAAAAAUAUCUCGAAUUUAAAAGAGAUAGUUAAUUAUUAAAGUUAAUGUGACAUAAUUAUUUUAAAUAAUUAAUUUGAAAUGAAAUGUUAAUCGUUUUUAAAAAUAUCUAGUUUUUUUAGAAAAAAAUUUAAUUUUAAAUUAAUUUAAUAAUUUUUUAAAUUUUUUGUAAAAAAUUAUAUAUUUAAUUAAAUAUUUUAAGGGAUAAGCUUUAAAUUAAAUUUUUAUAAUGUUAAUAAACUAUUUAAAUAUUUUAAAAUUUAUAUUUUUUAUAAAUUAUAAUUUUUUAUAAAUAAUUUUAUUUAUUUUAAAAUUUAAAUUUAUAUUUAAAUUUAUAUAAAAAAAUAAUUUUUAAUAAUAAAAAAUUAGUUAUAAUGAUAAAAUUAGUAUAUAAAAAAAAAUAAAAUAAAAUUAAUUAAAAUUAAUAAAAAGGAAUUCGGCAAAAAU
rnacentral:rRNA from 1 species